AGCAGUCGCCGCGGUAAUACGGAGGGUGCAAGCGUUAAUCGGAAUUACUGGGCGUAAAGCGCACGCAGGCGGUCUGACAAGUCAGAUGUGAAAUCCCCGGGCUUAACCUGGGAACUGCAUUUGAAACUGUCAGGCUGGAGUCUUGUAGAGGGGGGUGGAAUUCCAGGUGUAGCGGUGAAAUGCGUAGAGAUCUGGAGGAAUACCGGUGGCGAAGGCGGCCCCCUGGACAAAGACUGACGCUCAGGUGCGAAAGCGUGGGGAGCAAACAGGAUUAGAUACCCCUGUAGUCCCUGUCUCUUAUCC
rnacentral:rRNA from 1 species